AGGGGCGGUCAGGAGCCGUCCACCGGCCCCAGCUCCCCACGGAGAAACAGCUCUGGGGUGGGGUUGAAAUCCAGGCACACACGGAGGGAGCCCCCCUGUGAUCACCCCACUGCCAAGACCAGGCGUCUGCAACAGAGCGCGGGGCCCAGCCUCUCCACCUCCAUUCAAAGCCUGCCCUGGCCCUGUUCUGUACCUGCACCGGGACGAGGGUGCCAGCCCCUCUUCCAAGUGCACACAGCUUGCCCGCCUCAAGGCCUCACUCACUGCCCUGCCUCCUAGACAAUUCUAAAGCCUUACUCUCUCCCAUAGACGCCUUCCCUUCGCCCCACGCGUCCCCAAGGACUUCACUCUUCGUGGCUCCUUCCUAAAGGAUUUUUCAGGAGGUUUUUCAUUUCAUGGAGCUGCUUUGAGAACCGUGUUCUAUGUAAGAACUGCUUGCAUGCCCGCUGUGUGCCAGACCCUGUGAGCAAACUCAGGACAUAGGCACUCCCACGCCCAUUGUACAGACGAGGCAGGCUGAGCUCAGGGAGCUUCAGUGACUUGUUCAGGGUCACGAAGCCAGAAAUCAGGUAGACAGACCUAGCUCCAGAUUCAGGCAGAAUGUGAGUACAAAGCAACUGAUCAGAAGACUGUGGUUCCAGGCACUCCGCCGCUUACUCCGCGUGGCUGCUCUCAGGUUGAACUUCUUGAUUAGGCCCAUCCGUUUGCAGGUGGACACUGUUUCCGCACCUCACUGAAACCCUCACUCACAGAGCUUGAAGUCACCUGGUUCUGGGCACACUCCGAAAGCUGUUCAAUCUCACAGAACCAAGGCUGCUGCUGCUGCUGUGCCAACUGGGUUCCCUGAGGCUCCUGAUUCCGGGGUGCAUGCGAAGGUUUGUGACCUGGCUGUACCACAUGCUGCUGAGCUCAGGAUCACCAGUGAUCCCAUCGCACAGGUCAGCUCUCUACUACCUGGACUGAAGGAAUAGCAGCCAAGACGGUCCCCAGAAAGAAGAUCGGCACACAUGCGCGGUAUGCACGGCAGAUAUCUUCUUUAAUCUCCAACCAUGAGGGUCUACUAUGGGGUAGGUGCUUAGGGGGACCUUGCAGGACCCACAACAUGCAGAAGCAGCAGCCCCUACUCUCAGGAAGUAAGGAGGCAUUGGUCAGUGGCAUCGGUAACACUGUGUCAUUCAGAGCUUCAAUCUGUGUAUUAACCAUCAUGUUUCCCAGGCUGUGAUCCCCACCUGCCGAGGCCACCUGGCACCUUGGCAACCUCUGCCAAGUUUCCCUAAGUCUGUCUGGAGAUUCCCAAAGUGUAUGUCAUAUAGACUCUUAUGUAACAGGAAAGAACAGCUCAUAAACCUGAAUUUAUUCCACUG
rnacentral:lncRNA from 13 species